rnacentral:tRNA from 1 species
AGUGUCCUGCAGAUCUUAU